GGGGAUUUAGCUCAGUGGUAGAGUGCUUGCCUAGGGAGCGCAAGGCCCUGGGUUCAGUCCCCA
rnacentral:tRNA from 1 species